AACGAACGCUGGCGGCAUGCCUAACACAUGCAAGUCGAACGAGACCUUCGGGUCUAGUGGCGCACGGGUGCGUAACGCGUGGGAACCUGCCCUUAGGUUCGGAAUAACUCCCCGAAAGGGGUGCUAAUACCGGAUAAUGUCUUCGGACCAAAGAUUUAUCGCCUUUGGAUGGGCCCGCGUUGGAUUAGCUAGUUGGUAGGGUAAAAGCCUACCAAGGCGACGAUCCAUAGCUGGUCCGAGAGGAUGAUCAGCCACACUGGGACUGAGACACGGCCCAGACUCCUACGGGAGGCAGCAGUGGGGAAUAUUGGACAAUGGGCGAAAGCCUGAUCCAGCAAUGCCGCGUGAGUGAUGAAGGCCUUAGGGUUGUAAAGCUCUUUUACCCGGGAUGAUAAUGACAGUACCGGGAGAAUAAGCUCCGGCUAACUCCCUG
rnacentral:rRNA from 1 species